AAGAGAGCUAUCCGUCGACAGUAUUGCCAGUAAACACUGUCAUGGAGUUGCUCUCUUUA
rnacentral:precursor_RNA from 1 species